rnacentral:piRNA from 1 species
ACUACUCGACUGCACAGAUUCA